rnacentral:rRNA from 1 species
GACGAACGCUGGCGGCGUGCUUAACACAUGCAAGUCGAACGGAAAGGCCCUGCUUUUGUGGGGUGCUCGAGUGGCGAACGGGUGAGAAACACGUGAGUAACCUGCCCUUGACUUUGGGAUAACUUCAGGAAACUGGGGCUAAUACCGGAUAGGAGCUCCUGCUGCAUGGUGGGGGUUGGAAAGUUUCGGCGGUUGGGGAUGGACUCGCGGCUUAUCAGCUUGUUGGUGGGGUAGUGGCUUACCAAGGCUUUGACGGGUAGCCGGCCUGAGAGGGUGACCGGCCACAUUGGGACUGAGAUACGGCCCAGACUCCUACGGGAGGCAGCAGUGGGGAAUAUUGCACAAUGGGCGGAAGCCUGAUGCAGCAACGCCGCGUGCGGGAUGACGGCCUUCGUGUUGUAAACCGCUUUCGCCUGUGACGAAGCGUGAGUGACGGUAAUGGGUAAAGAAGCACCGGCUAACUACGUG